AGCAGCCGCCGCGGUAAUACGUAGGUGGCAAGCGUUGUCCGGAAUUAUUGGGCGUAAAGCGCGCGCAGGUGGUUUAAUAAGUCUGAUGUGAAAGCCCACGGCUCAACCGUGGAGGGUCAUUGGAAACUGUUAAACUUGAGUGCAGGAGAGAAAAGUGGAAUUCCUAGUGUAGCGGUGAAAUGCGUAGAGAUUAGGAGGAACACCAGUGGCGAAGGCGGCUUUUUGGCCUGUAACUGACACUGAGGCGCGAAAGCGUGGGGAGCAAACAGGAUUAGAUACCCAGUAGUCCCUGUCUCUUAUACA
rnacentral:rRNA from 1 species